CUCAAAUAACUGAACCUCAUAUCUACUGUGAGGUUAGUAGAUGAAUGUACUGUUGAAGUAUUUAAAUGUCAUCAGAUGCCAGACAUUUGGAGAAGAUCACGUCCACUGGACUGCCUCAGACCCACAAGACAUCUGCAGGUGUCACAUUCAACCUCGCGCCAGGACCUUACGCUUCUCAGCUUCAUCAGACGCUUUGCCCUACUCAGAUUGUAGAACUGGAAGAGGAAGGACAGAGCAAAGGACGUAGACGUGUGAAGUGGGAAAAAUCUAAGCGACCCUGCAACUGCACAAAAUCUCAGUGUCUGAAACUUUAUUGUGAAUGUUUUGCGAACGGAGAUGUCUGCAACAACUGCAAAUGCUUAAACUGCUACAAUAAUACUGAACAUAACUUGGAGAGAUCCCAGGCUAUAAAGGUCAACCACAUGACAGAAACCUCUUAAAAUAAAUCAACUUAAAUGGUCUCUUUGAUUAGAUGGCACUUCACUUUCUUUAGGCCUGUCUGGACAGGAAUCCAGGGGCUUUUCGGCCUAAGAUUGGCAGUAGGAAACAGGGGAAUGUGAAGGGAUGUCACACAAAGGGUUGCAACUGCAAGCGUUCAGGCUGCCUGAAGAACUACUGCGAGUGUUAUGAGGUAAGCUGACCUGAUAAGUAGUAUAUUUUCAAUAAUGUAUUUAUUUGGAGUCACUUUACACUGCAAUUCCACACAGGCCAAAAUCAUGUGCACAUCCACCUGUAAGUGUGUGGGCUGCCGAAACUAUGAGGAAAGUCCUUCAAAGAAGAGCUCUGAGCGGGACAGGCCUGACUCCAGCAUCUACUACCCAACCAGGAGUCCUCUGGCGUGCAUCACGCCCGAUGUAGUGGAAGCCACAUGCGGCUGUCUCCUCGCCCAGGCUGAAGAGGCAGAGAAGGAAGGGUACACUGCGGCUCACGCUGAGAGAAUGAUUUUGGAGGAGUUCGGCCAGUGCCUAACGCAGAUUGUCCGAUCAAUAUUCAAAUCCAACAGCGUGCAAUUCAAUGAGUAGCGGGGGAACAAAUGCUCAGUGUUAUGAUUGAUCCAGAUGUGAUUUGGUUACCGACAAGUGUUGUUUUUCUUUACUUCAGCAUUAAGAGAUGCUUUGAAAAAUUCACAUCGUCACCACUUUAAUAGCACAUUUUAUUUAUAGUUAUUUAUAUAAAUAUAUAUAUUUUUUACUAUUUAUUAAUUUAUUUAAGAAUCUUCUUUUAUUUAUUUUUUUCAUUCCCACCACUUCACAUCUGCAGGAUUUUAAUGGAAAAUUUUAUUUAUAUUUAAAUAUAUUAUCUAUAUGUUAUUUAAAUUAUUCCAACCACGUUUUUUUUGCAGUAUGUUAAUAUUAUUGUGUUUUAUAUAAUAUUUAAACAAUUUGAACAGGAGCAAUGUUUACAUUUUUCUUUUCACAUUACCUGUUGCUUGUUCUGGAAUAUUUAAUCCUGUUUGGAAACUUGAUAUCGGUUCUUGCAUUACAAAUUUAGCGUUCUCAUUUUGCCAUUUUUGGCUGUUUUUCUGUAAUAGAGCAGUCACUGGCUUUAUGCAUCAGUAACUAUUUUUCUGUCAGUAUUUAUUUAAAUAUAAAUGGCAUGUUACUUAAAAAUUAUUAAAAUAUUUAUUAUUACUUGUAUAUAUUUCCAUUCUUUCCCACCACUUUACAUCUGAGUGAUUUUAAUUAAACAUUUAAUUAACAUUUAUAUAUAUAUAUUUUUUAAUAUAAAUAUUACUUAAAAAUUUUAUAUAAUUUAUAUUACCACAUAACUUGCUGCUUGUUCUGAAACCUUUUUUACUGUUGGAAAACUUGAUCUCGGUUGUUGUGUCAGGGAAUUUCGAUCAGGUUCUCAGUGCAAGCAUUUCAAUCCAUUAGAAAUUUAGUUUGUUAAAAUUUUCAUUUUGCCAUUUGUGGAUGUUUUUUUCUGUAUUGGACUUGAGUGACUUUUUUUCCUGUUCCAGUCUUAUAUAUAUGACUAACUAUAUACAAUUGACUGACAUUUUGUUUUAAAUCAUUCCAUUUCUUAACGCUUUUAUCUUAACACUUACCAAAGCUCCAAAUUUGACCACAUUCUACAUCACCUUUUAUGCAAGCAACUCAGUUUGGAUUCAAGGUUGAGACACUUUUAGGAGAAACAUGAUUUUUUCCUCUUUUGUAGAAUUUUAGAGACACAGCUGUAGGGUAAAA